rnacentral:rRNA from 1 species
GACGAACGCUGGCGGCGUGCUUAACACAUGCAAGUCGAACGGAAAGGCCCUGCUUUUGUGGGGUGCUCGAGUGGCGAACGGGUGAGUAACACGUGAGUAACCUGCCCUUGACUUUGGGAUAACUUCAGGAAACUGGGGCUAAUACCGGAUAGGAGCUCCUGCUGCUUGGUGGGGGUUGGAAAGUUUCGGCGGUUGGGGAUGGACUCGCGGCUUAUCAGCUUGUUGGUGGGGUAGUGGCUUACCAAGGCUUUGACGGGUAGCCGGCCUGAGAGGGUGACCGGCCACAUUGGGACUGGGCUACGGCACAGACUCCUACGGGAGGCAGCAGUGGGGAAUAGUGCACAAUGGGCGGAAGCCUGAUGCAGCAACGCCGCGUGCGGGAUGACGGCCUUCGGGUUGUAAACCGCUUUCGCCUGUGACGAAGCGUGAGUGACGGUAAUGGGUAAAGAAGCACCGGCUAACUACGUG